GAUGAACGCUGGCGGCGUGCCUAAUACAUGCAAGUCGAGCGAACAGAUGGGGAGCUUGCUCCUCUGACGUUAGCGGCGGACGGGUGAGUAACACGUGGAUAACCUACCUAUAAGACUGGGAUAACUUCGGGAAACCGGAGCUAAUACCGGAUAAUAUAUUGAACCGCAUGGUUCAAUAGUGAAAGGCGGUUUUGCUGUCACUUAUAGAUGGAUCCGCGCCGCAUUAGCUAGUUGGUAAGGUAACGGCUUACCAAGGCAACGAUGCGUAGCCGACCUGAGAGGGUGAUCGGCCACACUGGAACUGAGACACGGUCCAGACUCCUACGGGAGGCAGCAGUAGGGAAUCUUCCGCAAUGGGCGAAAGCCUGACGGAGCAACGCCGCGUGAGUGAUGAAGGUCUUCGGAUCGUAAAACUCUGUUAUUAGGGAAGAACAAAUGUGUAAGUAACUAUGCACGUCUUGACGGUACCUAAUCAGAAAGCCACGGCUAACUACGUG
rnacentral:rRNA from 1 species